GAUGAACGCUGGCGGCGUGCCUAAUACAUGCAAGUCGAGCGAAUGGAUUAAGAGCUUGCUCUUAUGAAGUUAGCGGCGGACGGGUGAGUAACACGUGGGUAACCUGCCCAUAAGACUGGGAUAACUCCGGGAAACCGGGGCUAAUACCGGAUAAUAUUUUGAACUGCAUGGUUCAAAAUUGAAAGGCGGCUUCGGCUGUCACUUAUGGAUGGAACCGCGUCGCAUUAGCUAGUUGGUGAGGUAACGGCUCACCAAGGCAACGAUGAGUAGCCGAGCUGCGAGGGUGAUCGGCCACACUGGGACUGAGACACGGCCCAGACUCCUACGGGAGGCAGCAGUAGGGAAUCUUCCGCAAUGGACGAAAGUCGGACGGAGCAACGCCGCGUGAGUGAUGAAGGCUUUCGGGUCGUAAAACUCUGUUGUUAGGGAAGAACAAGUGCUAGUUGAAUAAGCUGGCACCUUGACGGUACCUAACCAGAAAGCCACGGCUAACUACGUGCCAGCAGCCGCCGUAA
rnacentral:rRNA from 1 species